GUUAAGUGACUAAGCGUAUACGGUGGAUGCCUUGGCAGUUAGAGGCGAUGAAGGACGUGUAAGUCUGCGAAAAGCUGUGGUGAGCCGACAAAAUGCAUUUGAGCCACAGAUGUCCGAAUGGGGAAACCCACCUGUUUACAGGUAUCGUUACAUGAAUACAUAGUGUAACGAGGCGAACGAGGGGAACUGAAACAUCUAAGUACCCUUAGGAAAAGAAAUCAACCGAGAUUCCCCUAGUAGCGGCGAGCGAACGGGGAUUAGCCCUUAAGCAAUUAUGAACGUAGUGGAAGCCUCUGGGAAGUGGCGCGAUACAAGGUGAUAGCCCUGUACACGAAGUGUUUGUUUUUGUGAAAUCGAGUAGGUCGGGACACGUGUUAUCUUGACUGAAUAUGGGGGGACCAUCCUCCAAGGCUAAAUACUCCUAACUGACCGAUAGUGAACCAGUACCGUGAGGGAAAGGCGAAAAGAACCCCUGUGAGGGGAGUGAAAUAGAACCUGAAACCGUAUACGUACAAGCAGUGGGAGCACCUUCGUGGUGUGACUGCGUACCUUUUGUAUAAUGGGUCAACGACUUAGUGUUGUAUGCAAGCUUAAACCGUUAGGUGUAGGCGCAGCGAAAGCGAGUCUUAAUAGGGCGUAGAGUUAGGUGGAUCAGACCCGAAACCGAGUGAUCUAGGCAUGACCAGGAUGAAGACAAGGUAACACUUGUUGGAGGUCCGAACCCACACCUGUUGAAAAAGGUCGGGAUGAGUUGUGCCUAGGGGUGAAAGGCCAAUCAAACUCGGAGAUAGCUGGUUCUCUGCGAAAUCUAUUUAGGUAGAGCGU
rnacentral:rRNA from 1 species